GACAAGAUCUAAGAGAUUCUUGGAAAUUCAAAAAUUGAGGGAAAACAAGCAAGAAUAUGACAUAAAGACUGCAGUAGCAUUGCUGAAGCAAAUGGCAAACUCAAAGUUCGUUGAAACUGCUGAAGCUCAUUUCCGUCUUAACAUUGAUCCCAAGUAUAAUGACCAACAGCUGAGAGCAACUGUAAAUCUGCCCAAGGGAACCGGGCAAACUGUUAAAGUGGCUGUGCUUACACAAGGUAGUUUUUCUACUCAAUUUGCUGACUUUGUACCAACUGGGAAAAAUUUUUAAUAUUGAAACAUAAAGGAUUCAAAUGUAAAGUUGUAGACCUCCUUUAUGUCUUAAAGUUUCAGAAAAAUGCAUUAACCUCAAAGCAAGCUUGAUCAUUUAGGUUGUUAGUAAUCAUUGAUGAGAACUUAAGGAUGCUGUGGGUGUAAGAAAGAUGGCAAAGUAGUUAAAUUGCUGAUUAUAUCUUUCUUUCUUCUUCUUCUUCAAUUUAAUUUUUUCAUUUUAAGCUUUUGGGAGUUCAGAUGUGAUUUGGGAUGGAAGGUUGAGAUUGAGAAUAUCAAAUUAUCAAUGCAUGAGAUAGAAUUUACGAACCUUUCAUGUUUGCUUAUAAUGCACCACAUAUUUGUUACUCUAUUGUGUAAAUAUUUACUCGGCUAUUUUAAGAUUGAUGUUUAGUUCAGUUGAUUAGAGCUUUUGAGUCAAAUAUUGCAGUCAAUUAUCUCUCAGGGAAGUUUGAUGAUGUGUCAUCUUUCAAAAGGAGUUAUGAAUUAUGAUACAUCAAGUUUCAGGCAAUUUACUAAAAUGGGUAUAUCCUAACAGCGGAAAAUGUUUUUUUUUUCUUUUGAAUCAGGGUUAUGCUUUUGUUGAUUUUGUUUUCUUGGGAAUCUUCAGCAUGCCUUGCCUUUUAUUUUUUUCCCCUCAAUCCACAGUUCUUCCUCAUGGCUAUCAACUAAAAUUUCUACUGCAAUGUUAGAACUCAGUUAAAUUCCUUCAACAUGGUGCCACAUAUUUUUAUCCCUUGUUCUAUGCAUUCAUUGUAAUGUGAAUUAAAAAUUGGCAGGUGAAAAGUUUGAUGAAGCC
rnacentral:misc_RNA from 1 species